UCGGGUAACGGGCUGGUCGGUACGGUCACCUUUAAUUUUUCGGGAAAAUGAUUAAUAAUUAUUUCGGGCAUCGUUAUCCAGUGCGCAAUUUGUGUAUGAAGGCGACAAUAAACUGCCCGCAAAGAGCAAACGGACGAAAAUGAAAAGAAAAGUCGAAACCCUUAGGCCACCCGCGAUCGAAUCCGGCGGAGAGGAAAAAUAAGCAGAGGAGAAAGAAAUUGAAAGGAUUAAGGCCAGGCUUUGUUUGAAGAAGUGAAAGGAGAUAUCGCAAAGUAUCUUUAAUUCUUUGCAUGGUCAAUGAAUUCCUACUUGUUUUUCUUUUACGCACGGGGAAUUAGUUGAAUACGUGAUCGUUUUGUUUCGUCUUAGCUCUGGAAUUUUUGUGGUUGUAGAUUUGAAGAUUGUUGUGUAAAAAUGGUGAGAAUUGUGCUGUUCGAGGUUAGAGCCUGUGGAAUAGUGUAGAGAAGGGAGGUAGAGAAAAAUAUGUUCAGUGUGUGUUAGACGUUUUACUUUAUUUUAUCUUUCCUGUCUGCGAGUUGUUCCUGCCGGCCGUGGUUGCAGCGUUAUUUUUAGUUGUGGUUAGGGUUUUGUGCAUAGCGGUAUUUGAGUUUAUCUCGAAGGAGGAUGGACUGUGGAAUGCUUUUGCCAAUAAGUGGGGAGCCAUUAAGGAAGCGAAACGGUGGAUUGCGCGCAAAACAGGCGGGGAGGGCUUCCUGUCGCGGAAGUUAGAGUGUUUGCUGGCACAGGCAAACUUGAAAGGGUUUUGCCGUGAUGAUCAUCCUUUUUACGACAGGCUGAGGUGACAGCGGCCUCCGACGAAGUAGUUUCUAACUGUAAGCUAGCGAAGGUGUUGUGAUUGUGUGUGCAACCGAGGAAGAAGAAUAAGACGGUCAUGGCAGAGCUUACGUUGCGAGAGGCACUUAAAAGUCUUUGCUCCAACAAUGGCUGGAGUUAUGCUGUUUUCUGGAAGCUUAAAUCACGUAACAGCAUGAUUCUUACAUGGGAAGAUGGCCACUAUCAGUCUGUGCAAUCAUCAAGCUUUUCAAAUACUUCUAUAUUCACAUCAACCAGCACUCUUCCCAAUGGAUGGGAUACUGGAGGAAUGCUACUCAAUCAUGGAGUCCAUGGUCAAGAUGGUUUUUCCAUGGAAGAUCAAAUUGGACAACUUGUGGCUAACAUGUCACAUCAGACACAUCCAUUUGGAGAAGGCACCAUUGGAAGCAUUGCCUUUUCUGGAAGGCAUCAGUGGAUCUUUCAAGAGAACUUUCUUAGUGGGAGGACUUUUCUUGAGUCACUUAAUGGAUCCUCAAGUUUUGAGUAUCCUGAUGGUUGGAAAAAUCAAUUUGCAGCUGGAAUAAAGACAAUUGCAGUUAUAGCAGCAGUGCCAUAUGGAGUGGUUCAACUUGGUUCAAGACAGACUAUUAUGGAGGAUUUGGAUUUUGUAAGACAUGUAAAGACCUUAUUUGGAAGCGUUCACAAUGUAUCAAGAGCAUUUACACAAGUCCAUGUUCAAGAAUUUUUGAGUGGAGGGAAUCGUGGAAUUCAGCCUAUAACAGGAAUGAAAUGUACAUCACUGCUUGAUGGGAUAUCUAAUCAGUCGAUAGUAAAAGAUUCAAGUUCAAAAUUUUCAGAAGAAGGUGGUGAUUCAUUUUCUAUUUUGGGACUAUCUAAAGGAUCCCAAGCACAAGCUCAUGCAUUGCCUUUUGUAUGCAGUUCUAGUAUUUUAGCUAAAUCUUUAAGCCAAUUCUCUCGGUUACAUCAAAAGGGAAUUCAAUUAAGUAGUCCCACACCCUCACUUGCUCAUGAGCAGGAAACUUUUUUAAAAGUAACCAGGGCAAUGCCCAGUGCUAGGGUAAUAUACCCUCUUCAGGGUAUGCUACAAGCAAGUUCAUGUAAGGAUGGCAAUCGCCAGUCAUUAUUUGUUGCUUCAGGAACAGGGAAUAAUAGUUUAGAACUUAUGGAACAGCAAAUAGUAAAGGAAAUGGAGUUACAAAGGCAGUUGCCUCGUCUUCUUCCUAUCAAUGCUCAGAGAAAAGGCCAAUCAAACAUUCAGAAUAAUGCACUAUCUACUUUUCACGAAGCAACAUUUUCGAAUCUUACUUUUGAUGUAGUUAAAUUUACUGAUUCUGAUAAAAUUAUGCACUGUAAUUUGAGUGAGUCUGCCAGGGAUGAAGGUAUGCAUAAGAGAGUUUUGUGUGAGACAGGUCCAUCUCAUAUAAGUAACCUGAAACAGACAGAUAUUCUAUCUUCUUUUCCUGCACUCCAGGAUGUUUGUAGGCAAUCUGCACAUUCUGCAGCUUCAUCCGUGCCUCUAAUGCAUACUAAUGGGGUUGAAGGAUUGGACAGCAUUCCUUUGGUUGAGUUGGAUAAUAGCUGCCCUGCAUACAAGGAUUCUGUGUUUUCUUCAGGGACUGUUCUGGCUCGGCAUCCUCACUAUGAUUCCUGGGGCAUGACAUCUGGGCAGUGUGAGUCUGCUAUACAAGAGCCAGUCAGCAAUGAUCUUAUACCUUCUUUAGAUGAUGACUUCUCAAUUCCUGCAACCCCUGGAUUAGGAUCUCAGCCCUGGGACAAAGGAAUGACAACUAAAGGUGUAUUGUCUUUUUUCCAGGAUCUUAUGGUCGAUAACUUUUGUUCAGAAAAAGAAAGUUCCAACAGUUCAGAGGCUGCCUUUGUGGAAGUUCUUCCUGGUACAGAUGGGUGUGUUCCUUAUGCUUUUGAUGACCCUAAAUCUUUAACAAGUGGACAGGAAAGCUCUAUAAAUUCAACUACCCUUACUGCCACUGAUGAACUGUUUGAUGUUUUGGGUUCUGUUUCAAAAACAACAGAAGAGCAGGCCAUAUGGGAUGACAUAUCAUUGCCGGUGAGUCAUGCAAGUAGUGGAAAUUUCAUAUCUCACUCAUUUGGGGCAUCAGCUGGCUCAGCGUGCCCAUCUGAAGUAGACAUUUCACAGAAUUUUGAUACAUCCAUUGAUAGGCAGCUGGAGAAGGGUAUUUUUUGCAAGAGGAAGUCUGAACAUCUUUUAGAUGCUGUAGUGGCUAAGAUACUUCUCCCUGUCAACCACAAUGCAGAUGACAAUACAUCCUCAAAGAUUUCUUUCUCAAGAUGUGCACCUUCUGUAGAUAGUGCCUCAGUUAAGGCCACUUCUUGUUUCUCGGGACCAUUGAGUGGUUCUGAGCAAUCCAAGUGUGCAGACCUUUCUCAUUGUAAAAAUAAUGCGGAUAUCAAAAGUGUUCAAAAUUCUCUUACAUCUGGGGCCCAAGGCGAGGCACUUGCUAAAAGAUCACCCAACAAUUCUGAUUUGAAGACUCAGCUUGGUUCAUGGUUUGAAGAUAGUAGGAGUGCAAAGAUUGAGAACCUGGGGCCUACUCAAUCAAAAAAAUCAGAUGAAACAGUCAAAGUCAAUAAGAAGAGGGCUAAACCUGGUGAAAGUUCUAGACCAAGGCCUAAGGAUAGGCAGCAGAUCCAGGACCGUGUUAAAGAACUCAGAGAAAUUGUACCAAAUGGAACCAAGUGCAGCAUAGAUGCUUUGUUGGAACGCACUAUCAAGCACAUGCUUUUCUUGCAGAGUGUCACCAAGCAUGCCGAUAAACUAAAGCAAAGUUGUGAGCCAAAGGUGCUUGAUAAGGAUAGAGGUUUUCUUGGGAAAGGUUACCUGGAAGGAGGUACUAGCUGGGCAGUGGAAGUGGGUGGUCAAAGCAUGGCAUGCCCUAUCAUAGUGGAGAAUAUGAGUCAACCUCGGCAGAUGCUUAUAGAGAUGGUUUGUGAGAAGCAAGGACUCUUUCUUGAAAUAGCAGACGUCAUUCGAGGACUGGGGCUUACUAUUUUAAAAGGAUUCAUGGAAGCUCAUAAUGACAUGAUCUGGGCGCGCUUUGCUGUCGAGGCAAAUAAAGAGGUGCACAGGAUGGAGAUUUUGUGGUCCCUGACGAAUUUGUUGUAUCAAAACACAAAAAACAAUAUGACUACGAGCAGCCAACCUAGUAUAGUCACACAUCAGAGCAUUGAUAGUGGUCCUCAAAUAUUGAAUGCAUUCUAGCAAUCUUCUUUUAUUCCCAUCUGUAGCAUAGCUGAAACGUUGCAGUAAUUACUGUAUUCUGGAAAGAUCUAUACCAGAUUAUGGAUGUGUAUUUUUUGUCCCAAAAUGUGCUGCAAGUGGGUGCCUACUUGACUUGUGUCGCACCAUCAAUCCUUCAACUAACUGCAGGACAGUGUAAUGUUAAUUAACUUUGUCCAGCUUCUCUAGGCAGGGAAACAUGUCUGCUGGAUGGCAUUUAAAUCCCCUCUACCAGGUGGUAAAUAUUUCAAAGGACUUGCACUUGCAUUUCUUUUGAACAAUUUCCCACUUGGUUGUAAAGAAAGGCAAGCUUCAGCUAUAAGACCUUGCUUAUUUUAAUAAUCUUGUUUUUCUCUGUAGGGGAACAUCUUUUCCUUCGUUAAUUUAUAACGUUCACUGGAAUAUUUCACAAAAUCAACCAAUGGGAUGUUAUGUGAAAUUGAUUCAUGUUACACAACAUGCCUUGAGAGUUCUGGUGUCGCCUUGUAAAUGCUCAAUAGCAUUUUCUUAAUAGAAUAUACAAGGGAUUAGUGUCGCCUAUUUCCCAUUUCAAUGAGAUUAAGGUUGAUGUUUUGCUUAA